CCUGAACUCAGUAACUAACCAGUGGCUAAAACAUCAUCCCAGGAAAGUGAGCAAUAAAUCUCUUAAGUUGGAAACUUGUGUAAAUAACCCGAGAUGAAGGGCAGAAGAACACACCUCCAGCUUUGCAGAAGCUGCAGUGAGGUCUUAUGAAGUGAGCAGUGACCUAGUGCCUGGUUUCCAGCAGGUCUCUCAUAGGCAGAAACAUGGGGCCAUUCUCAACAGGCCAUUCUCCACCACAGCCCAGUCAGCGGGCCAAGAAGCAGAUCUGAAAGAAAGGAACAGUGGAUCUACUUUGCUGAUUUGUAGCAAUGAUAUUUCAUUCUAUGAGCCAACACCCCAAGAAAGAGGGCAUCAUGGAGCCUCUCUGAGAAACGCAGUGCACUUAUCAGGAUGUGGCUCUCAGCUACUGCUCCAGCACCUGCCAUGCCUGCUGUCAUGUUGCUGCCAUGGUGAUUAUAGACUAAAUGCUUUCUUAUUCGAGCUGCCUUGGUCAUCGGGUCUCUUCACAGCAACAGUUCAAUGACUGAGACACAAGCAAUGUGAUUCAAAAGGAACAACCCUGGUCUACUUCAAAAGUAAUGAAGAUGAGAACCGAUGGACUGCUUCCAGGCUAAUAUGGUUUGAUCAACCAAGACCCUCUGAGAGGUUGAUACAGCCUCACAGACUGCUACAGUCAAGAUUUAACUAUGAUUCUUAAUUUUCUCAGGAUUCCCAUAAGAUUGCCAGCACCCCCAACCAGUAGAGCAAAACCUGUUGCUGAUGCCUCUGACGUUUUUCUUUCUCUUCUGGAAAAGACAAGCCCCACGGAGUGAAAUUCUACACGCUUACGCCUCAAUGGCUCUACACCUUCCACACUCCAAGCACAUUGCCCCCACUGGAUUCCACCAUAGUGAGGACAUGCCUGCCCAUCAUCACUAAUCAGCAUCUCACCUUCCACUCAGCAACCUUCC